rnacentral:rRNA from 1 species
GAGUGCAAGAGAACGUGAAACCGGUGUAAUGGAAGCGAAUGGAGCCGACGUAUCUAGUGCGUAUUCAGCCUUCUGGGCGCGUGAUUGGUGUUUGUGCAUUGCCGCAAGGUGUGCCUGGCGCUAUUGUCGCGUGUUCGGUUGGUGCAUUUGCGUACGGAGUGCGCCGGGUUGUGUGGUGUUGUCGGACGAUGCGCGUUUAGAGGACCCGGGCUUCGGCGCUGGGAACCCUGGGCGUGUGGAGUUCGGUUGGCGCUGCGCAGCUUUGUGGAGACGUGGGUUUUUCGCGUGCCGCGGUGUCGACAGGCUCGGUUCGGGUGGUACACAUGUGUGCAGCCCUUAUGGGGUCGGUCGGUGUUGUGGUGUGCUCUGCGUUCUUCCCGGUGUUCAGUCGGUGACCCAUUCGACCCGUCUUGAAACACGGACCAAGGAGUUUAUGGUAUGCGCAAGUCAUUGGGUUUGUCGAAGCCUAAAGGCGUAAUGAAAGUGAGACAUUACUUGUCUGAACGUGACUGGGUGCGGCAUUCGUGCGGCCCAAGCAACGUUGCCCCGUUUCGAGGACUUGUCCUGAUGCGGAGGUUGAGCGUAUGCUAUGAGACCCGAAAGAUGGUGAACUAUGCCUGGAAGCAGG